ensembl:rRNA 5S_rRNA 5S ribosomal RNA
AUCUACUGCCAAACCAGCCUAGAAGGGCCCGAUGUCGCUAAGCAGGGUCGGGCCUGCUUAGAACUUGGAUGGGAGACCUCUAAGGAAGACCGGGUGCUCUAGGCU